rnacentral:rRNA from 1 species
AACGAACGCUGGCGGCAUGCCUAACACAUGCAAGUCGAACGAGACCUUCGGGUCUAGUGGCGCACGGGUGCGUAACGCGUGGGAACCUGCCCUUAGGUUCGGAAUAACUCAGAGAAAUUUGAGCUAAUACCGGAUAAUGUCUUCGGACCAAAGAUUUAUCGCCUUUGGAUGGGCCCGCGUAGGAUUAGCUUGUUGGUGGGGUAAUGGCCUACCAAGGCGACGAUCCUUAGCUGGUCUGAGAGGAUGAUCAGUCACACUGGGACUGAGACACGGCCCAGACUCCUACGGGAGGCAGCAGUGGGGAAUAUUGGACAAUGGGCGAAAGCCUGAUCCAGCAAUGCCGCGUGAGUGAUGAAGGCCUUAGGGUUGUAAAGCUCUUUUACCAGGGAUGAUAUUGACAGUACCUGGAGAAUAAGCUCCGGCUAACUCCGUG